CGGGGGCGGGAUCCGGUCAGAGCCGCCCCCCCGCCGCGGCCCGGGCCCGGUGGGAGCUCGCGGGGCGCUUCGGGACGGUCGCAGCAGGGCUGGACGCGCAAAGACGCGCCCCUGCGGAGCGUGAGGCUGGCACGCAGGUCUGCAGUAUUCCAAACUUAGAAACAUGCUACUGCCGCAUUUGAGGAAGGAUUGCAGCAUAUCGCCCAAUAUAUGCGGGUCUGAAAUGAGAGAAGAUUGCAUCAGGAUAUUGUUGGCAAGGUUGCCAUCUAAAUCAGCUAAUGGUCUUCUCUGCCUGCAAAACCGGAAUAUAGGUUACAAGACAGUUUAGGUAAAGCUAGUUUGGUGCACACCAUGCUGCUUUGGAGUUCUCUCUGUGUUUGGGCCUUGGGUAGGUGAGUGUUUAAGGCCCUUGGUCACUUCCAUUGUUAAUGGGUGAGCACGAGGAGUGUGGUUGCUCACCAUGUCUGGAGAUUCACAGUCCAGCCUGUUGUGACUAAAAUGAGGACUUCUGAAAUGCUUUAAAAAGCAAGUGUUGUACCAUGGCCUUGGCAUUUCCCUGUAGAGCAUUAUCUGGUGGCAUGUCCAAGCUUCCCAGAGAAGCUGUUCGGUUGGCACUGUCGUGACUGUGGUGAUUGGGAUGGCCUUGGGGCUGAGUGCACUAAGGUGGUAGUUGGCACAAUGGAGAGGACAUGCAGGGGUUUUUUGCCUUUUGAAGGCAGUGGGCACUUUUCCACUGAGUCACCAAGAGUUGCCUGAGCUGCUCUUAGGCCUGUGCCUGCAUUGUCACCACUGGUCCAAACAGUGCAUUGAGAGUGGUGAUAAGAAAUGCUAAUGAAAAGGAAGCAAAUUGGGAGUUACAAGAAGCUUCAUUUUCUCCACUUGUACAAAUGUGGUAAGCAAGCAGAAAGGGAUGACUUUCCUGCCUCAGUGUUAGCAACUUUAUGGCAGAAUAAACAAUGUUCCUUAGGACUUUUAUGAAGAAGCUGAGAAUGCAGAGCUCCAAGCGUUAGCAUUUUAGAUGAGUUAAGCUAUCUAGACCACAUAUGAAAAAUUCAUUACCUACUGAGCAGCUAACGUGCCCAUCAGUUAUGGCACAAACUGUUCUGUCUUUUGGAAACCAGAGGGGACAAAACUCAAUAUCGUUCAGGUGGCUUGUAAUUGCUUUGUUUUACACAACACUGCAUAAAGUGACUGAGUCCCAAAGUUGAAGGUGUUGCAAUAAAGAUCUUAAAUGGGUUUGCAUGUGGAGGAAGGAAUGCUAAGUGCCUGAAACUUGUUAGCAAGAGAUUUUUUUUUAAGCACAUUUCAAUUGACUGGCAAAGGGUAUUUGCCCCCCAGUAGUUAGUAUGCUGCUUCCUGAGUGGAAAAAAGAAAAACCCAACAACAACAAAAACAACAACCAAAACCAAAUCAUAAAAAAAGUUGUGUGUAUGCACUGUAUACCAUAUAUAUAUAUUGAUAUAUAUAUUUACAGACACACACACAUACUGUAGUUUGCUUUGUAGUUAAGAGUACAGCUGCAUGACAAUAAUUUGUGGCAUUAAUAGCUGUAUCAGAAAUGGAAAUGAUAGUUGUCAAAUAGUCUGCAGUGAUAGACUUCACAUUUUAGCUAAGAGCUCCGCAUACUUUCGGGGGUUUGCUAUUUUUUUUCCCACUCCAGAAACUCAGUAUCUGUGGCCCUGAGGAUGGCAGAUACCCCUAGAAGGACAGUUAAUUGAGUUAUGUUACAAAUCACAGUUGAGGACCUGCUCUAACCAUUGUCUUUCUUCCAAUCUGGUUAUGGUUUAGGUUUGUUGGCCAUGCAAAGAAGAGCAUCUUAAGUUAGGCCAGGCAUACUGUCAAGUAAGUCCCAAGCAGUCACUUAGAUGGCUAGUAUUUGAAGAGGCCAUAUGUUCACUCUGCUGAUUUAGGCACUCUGUGACCCCUCCUGAGGAAAAGCUGUUCAGAUACAGCUUUAUGGGCCAUAAGAUCAGGAUUGCUGUUCCAGAUGUCUCUCCAUUUGAUGUGCCAGACCAUUAAAUUGCCCCAUAAAUUCACUUAGUUUCACAUUGACAGAGGAGAAAGAGUUGGUUGGUUCACUUGGGUACCGUAAAUUGUCCUCCAGAAAAGUCUUUGUCCAUUGGUUAUACAUUAUGUGAAGGGGACAAGGUGACUUGUCCUGCUAAGCCAGACUGGCAUUGCAGUGAUCCCUCUGCUCAACCUGG